rnacentral:misc_RNA from 1 species
GAUUUACUUGCACAGGGAUUUGGUUCUUUGGGGCUAAUGACUUCUGUGUUGUUGUCAUCUGAUGGGAAGACAUUAGAAGCUGAGGCGGCUCAUGGCACUGUAACACGGCAUUACCGAUUACAUCAGAAGGGACAAGAAACCAGUACAAAUAGUAUUGCUUCUAUUUUUGCAUGGACACGGGGGCUUGAGCAUAGGGCCAAACUAGAUAAAAACAAGAGGCUACUGGAUUUUGUUCAGAAGUUGGAGGCUUCAUGCAUUGAAACGGUGGAAUCCGGGAAAAUGACAAAGGAUCUUGCCUUGCUGAUACAUGGACCCAAGGUAUCAAGGGAGUUUUACUUGAACACAGAGGAAUUUAUUGAUGCCGUAGCACACAAUCUGGUAGCGAAACUCCAACGACCUCCUGUAACUGUUAACUAAAUGAGUUGUUAUUAAAGAUGGAGAUUUGGUUUCCAGGUCUUCUUCCCAUUUGUCCAUG